UGCGUAGGCGGAUUAAUAAGUCAGUGGUGAAAUCUCUCGGCUCAACCGGGAAACUGCCAUUGAUACUGUUAAUCUUGAGUUCGGUGGAGGUAGGCGGAAUGUGUAAUGUAGCGGUGAAAUGCUUAGAUAUUACACAGAACACCAAUUGCGUAGGCAGCUUACUAGACCGACACUGACGCUGAGGCACGAAAGCGUGGGUAGCGAACAGGAUUAGAUACCCUGGUAGUCC
rnacentral:rRNA from 1 species